AAGAAGAAAGAAGACGAGAAACUGG
rnacentral:sRNA from 1 species